rnacentral:rRNA from 1 species
AACGAACGCUGGCGGCGCGCCUAAUACAUGCAAGUCGAGCGAGAAGACGUAGCAAUACGUUUGUAAAGCGGCGAACGGGUGAGGAAUACAUGGGUAACCUACCCUCGAGUGGGGAAUAACUAGCCGAAAGGUUAGCUAGUACCGCGUACGCUCCUUGGACUUCGGUUCAGGGAGGAAAGCGAUACCGUGGGUAUGCGCUCUUGGAUGGGCUCAUGUCCUAUCAGCUUGUUGGUGAGGAACGGCUCACCAAGGCUUCGACGGGUAGCUGGUCUGAGAGGACGAUCAGCCACACUGGCACUGCGACACGGGCCAGACUCCUACGGGAGGCAGCAGUAAGGAAUAUUGCGCAAUGGGCGAAAGCCUGACGCAGCGACGCCGCGUGGGGGAUGAAGGUCUUCGGAUUGUAAACCCCUUUCGGGAGGGAAGAUGGAACGAGCAAUCGUUCGGACGGUACCUCCAGAAGCAGCCACGGCUAACUUCGUGCCAGCCGCCGCCGUAAU